UGCCUCCUGAUCCCCCAUAAGAGGUAACUCCUGCCCAGUGAAAAGUUUUUUCAACGGCCGCGGUAUCCUAACCGUGCAAAGGUAGCAUAAUCACUUGUCUAUUAAUUGUAGACUAGAAUGAAAGGAUAAACGAAAUAAGUGCUGUCUCCGCUAGUUUCCUAUAAAUUAUAAUUUAGAUGAAGAUAUCUAAAUAUAAAUGAAGGACAAGAAGACCCUAUAGAGCUUUAUCUAGAAAAGAAAGAAAUCUCUUUUUAAGGAUUCGGUUGGGGCGACCGAGGGGAACAUGCAUCACCCUCCACUCAGAGAUCUAUUAAUCUACCACAUGACCCUUAUCUUAGAUCAUAAAAAUAAGCUACCUUAGGGAUAACAGGCUAAUCUUAUUAGAGAGUCCUUAUCUAUAAUAAGGGUUGGCACCUCGAUGUUGGCUUAGGGCAUCUUUAUGGCGCAAAAGUCAUAAAAAGACGGUUUGUUCAACCUUCAAUUCCCU
rnacentral:rRNA from 1 species